UUCUGUACUAAUUUUUAUUUGAAAGUAGGAGUAUAAAUAGUUUCUGGAGGCUUCUGGACGUCAAAUUAAGAACUUUCCCGUCCAUUGCCUUCUUUUAUUUCUCACUCUCAGGAGAGAUCCCGAUCAGCGAAGAAAUCACCGAGCUACCCCCAUCAUUUUUUUGGAAAGAACAAGAGGAAUUGAAACUCCAAUUUUCUUUUCUAUAGUGUGUUCUGAAGUUGAAAUGGAUCCUGAAACUGCCCUAGAGCUUGUAAAGCAUGGUGUGACAAUUCUCCUCCUCGAUGUUCCUCAGUACACCCUCGUUGGAAUUGAUACUCAGAUGUUCUCUGCAGGGCCUUCUUUUAAGGGUAUAAAGAUGAUUCCUCCAGGGCCUCAUUUCCUUUAUUACAGCUCAUCGAGCAGAGAUGGCAGAGAGUUUCCACCAAUUACUGGCUUUUUUGUAGACGCUGGUCCCUCUGAGGUUAUUGUUCGGAGGUGGGAUCAGAGGGAGGAGCGCCUGAUAAAAGUAUUAGAAAAAGAGGAGGAGCGAUUUAGGGAAGCAAUUAGAAGAUUGGAGUUUGACAGACAACUUGGUCCGUAUAAUCUGGGUCAAUAUGGAGAAUGGAGGCGUAUAUCUAACCACAUCAACAGUACUACAAUUGAACGACUAGAACCCAUAGGAGGUGACAUUACUGUGGUGUGCGAACCUGGAAUUUCUCAGAGCACUUCCAAGUCAGCAGUAGAGAAAGUUCUGGAGGAUCAGUUGAAGGCUAGUAAGUUUGCAACACCUGUUGAUUCAUCUCAGAGAAGAGGAUGCUAUUACACAAAAAUUCCCCAUGUUAUCAAACAGAGAGGAGUCCAUGGGCAGGAGCUUACUUAUUUAAAUCUCGAUAAGACCUUACUACUAGAAAACUUACUGAAAGAAUAUUUUGGAGGUUCAGAGGACCUACUUCUUGGGGAGCUACAGUUUGCAUUCGUUGUCUUUUUGAUGGGACAAUCACUUGAAGGAUUUCUACAGUGGAAAUCACUAGUUACCCUGUUUUUUGAGUGCACAGAAGCUCCUUUUUGCACAAGGAGUCAACUGUUUACAAAGUUCAUUAAGGUUAUCUACCAUCAAUUGAAAUUUGGAUUAGAGAAAGAUCGUUCUAAUGAUAAAGCAGGAUCAUCAUCAAUAUUGAUAGACGAAUCAUGGUUUUCUGCUGAUAGUUUCUUACAUCAUUUAUGUAAGGAUUUCUUCUCAUUGGUGCUAGAGGCUCCGGUUGUUGAUGGGGAUCUUCUGACAUGGAAUAUUAAUGCACCACAUUCGUCUGUCAGACAAGGAAACUCAAGGAACUGUUAGAGAACAGACUGGGCUGGAAAUUCCAUGAUAUUGCAACUGAUGGAAUUUCCUUUGAUGAAGAUGAUGAGUUUGCUCCUGUAGUUGUGAGGAUGGAUGAGUCUGAGUCGUCCUGAGGUUUUGUAUCGCGUGAUAAAUAUAAAAUAAUGGUUUGUGUGUGAAGGGGCCCUUAUGACUACAUCAUUGCCCAACCCCAAUUAGCAAGACCCAACUCGUACUUUAGUCCUGGCGCGCUAUUCUUGGUGUACCUUUCUCCUCAUCGCUCCUUUUCUUUAAUUUGUUUUAUUAGAUCCUUAUAAAUAUAACAAUUAAAUUUAAAAUAUUAAUAUAUAUAAUAAUUUUUUUUAAAAAAGUUGCAAAUAUAACAAAAUUUGUUACCAAUGAAUAUUGGUGUUUCACUAAUAGACUAGAUUUAAAAUCUAUCACCGAUAAUAGUCUAGACUUUGUUAUAUUUACAAUUUUCUUUCAAAAAAAAAUGUUGCUAUGCACUUAACUAUUAUCCAUAAAAUUUCUAUUAAUUAGGGAGCUCUUUGUUUUUCAUAUAUCUCACAAAUAUGGAUUUGACUAAGUCGCUUACUGUCGAUUCAAAGGUUUCCUAACAUACAUCCUCUUGUUGUGUUAAGAUCAUAAUAUCAUCCUUCUCAACAACAUAAACAUGGGAGGGAUAUGGAUAUCAUCCACUCCAUCACAUGUGUGAUUAAUGAGCAUACUCAUCUGAAGAUUCUUCAUUAUUCAUAUUGAAGUUCUGUUCAUCUAACUUUUUAUUCUUCCCUUCCCCACACUGGAUUUGUUUCCAUCGUAACAUAGUUUUCUUGUGUUUCUUUUCUCCCCCUUGCUUGAUGCCAAACAAACAUAGCUUAAAUGUAGAGUUGACUACCUUUCAGAAUGGGGAGUAAUCUUCAAAUUAUCAUUCCAAACUAACCAAAACCUCAACUAGGGCGGAGCACGAUUGGAUUUAACUCUGCUCUUGGGUUGAUACAUAACCUAUGAUGAAAGGUGUACCUAAAUUUUGAUUCGAGUAUGAAAUCCCCGUUUACAUUCAUCCAA